rnacentral:rRNA from 1 species
UACCCGCUGAACUUAAGCAUAUCAAUAAGCGGAGGAAAAGAAACCAACAGGGAUUGCCUCAGUAACGGCGAGUGAAGCGGCAACAGCUCAAAUUUGAAAUCUGGCUCUUCCAGAGUCCGAGUUGUAAUUUGCAGAGGAUGCUUCGGGUUCGGCUCCGGUCUAAGUUCCUUGGAACAGGACGUCAUAGAGGGUGAGAAUCCCGUAUGUGACUGGCCGCCACGCCCGUGUGAAGCUCCUUCGACGAGUCGAGUUGUUUGGGAAUGCAGCUCAAAAUGGGUGGUAAAUUUCAUCUAAAGCUAAAUAUUGGCCAGAGACCGAUAGCGCACAAGUAGAGUGAUCGAAAGAUGAAAAGCACUUUGGAAAGAGAGUCAAACAGUACGUGAAAUUGUUGAAAGGGAAGCGCUUGCAACCAGACUUGCCCGCGGGUGAUCAGCCGGUAUUCUUACCGGUGCACUCGCCCGUGGUCAGGCCAGCAUCGGUUUGGGCGGCUGGAUAAAGUCCACCGGAAUGUAGCUCCUCUCGGGGAGUGUUAUAGCCGGAGGUGCCAUGCAGCCCGCCCGGACCGAGGACCGCGCUUUGGCUAGGAUGCUGGCGUAAUGGUUGUAAGCGACCCGUCUUGAAACACGGACC